GGAAGACCUAAAAAUAGUGGCAAAAAGCCAACCGAGCUUGGUGAUAGCUGGUUACUCAACAAAUGAACCUUAGUUCAACUUUAGGUGCCCAUGGGCCAACUACUUUAACCCACCACCCUUUAACCUAAAGAAAUUCAAUGGGGGUACAGCCCCAUUGAACCGGAACACAACCCGAAUUGAGAGACACCUACUAAACUUUAACCCUAACAGUAGGCCCCAAAGCAGCCACCAACUAAACGCGUUACAGCUACAACAAAACAAUUUUUACAAUAAUAUACACCUCCUAAUAUACCACGAGUUAUUCUAUUUUUUAAUAGAAACACCAAUGCUAAAAUUAGUAAUAAGAAACCCUAAUUUCUCUCCGCACCCCCUUAAAUCAGAAUAGAAAAACUACUGAUAAUUAACACAACACGACCUACAACAACUAGCUAACAUGUCAACUAAAAUCUGUUACCCCAACACAGGAGUGCAAAAAAGAAAGGCAAAAAGCCAUAAAAGGAACUCGGCAAACCCUACCGUCCCAACUGUUUACCAAAAACAUAGCCUUUAGCUCAACAAGUAUUAAAGGUCCCGCCUGCCCAGUGACUCUUUAAACGGCCGCGGUAUCCUAACCGUGCAAAGGUA
rnacentral:rRNA from 1 species